UACGUAGGGUGCAAGCGUUGUCCGGAAUUAUUGGGCGUAAAGAGCUCGUAGCCGGUUUGUCGCGUCGAAUGUGAAAACCCGGGGCUCAACCCCGGGCCUGCAUUCGAUACGGGCAGACUAGAGUUCGGUAGGGGAGUCUGGAAUUCCUGGUGUAGCGGUGAAAUGCGUAGAUAUCGAGAGGAACACCAGAGGUGAAGACGGGUUGCUGGGCCGACACUGACGCUGACAGCGCGAAAGCCAGGGGAGCAAACGGG
rnacentral:rRNA from 1 species